AGUGAACGCUGGCGGUAGGCCUAACACAUGCAAGUCGAACGGCAGCACAGUAAGAGCUUGCUCUUACGGGUGGCGAGUGGCGGACGGGUGAGGAAUACAUCGGAAUCUACUUUUUCGUGGGGGAUAACGUAGGGAAACUUACGCUAAUACCGCAUACGACCUACGGGUGAAAGCAGGGGAUCUUCGGACCUUGCGCGAUUGAAUGAGCCGAUGUCGGAUUAGCUAGUUGGCGGGGUAAAGGCCCACCAAGGCGACGAUCCGUAGCUGGUCUGAGAGGAUGAGCAGACACACUGGAACAGAGACACGGUCCAGACGCCUACGGGAGGCAGCAGUGGGGAAUAUUGGACAAUGGGCGCAAGCCUGAUCCAGCCAUACCGCGUGGGUGAAGAAGGCCUUCGGGUUGUAAAGCCCUUUUGUUGGGAAAGAAAAGCAGCAGGUUAAUACCCCGCUGUUCUGACGGUACCCAAAGAAUAAGCACCGGCUAACUUCGUG
rnacentral:rRNA from 1 species